CGGAACACAGGUGCUGCAUGGCUGUCGUCAGCUCGUGUCGUGAGAUGUUCGGUUAAGUCCGCUAACGAGCGCAACCCUUGCUGUGUGUUACAUGUGGUCACACGGGGACUGCCGGUCUUAAACCGGAGGAAGGUGGGAUGACGUCAAGUCAGCAUGGCCUUUAUAUCCUGGGCUACACACACGCUACAAUGGCCGGUACAAUAGGUUGCUAAGCCGCGAGGCGGAGCCAAUCCUCAAAGCCGGCCUCAGUUCAGAUUGCAGGCUGCAACCCGCCUGCAUGAAGAUGGAGUUGCUAGUAACCGCAGGUCAGCUAUACUGCGGUGAAUACGUUCCCGGGGCUU
rnacentral:rRNA from 1 species